rnacentral:rRNA from 1 species
AACGAACGCUGGCGGCAUGCCUAACACAUGCAAGUCGAACGAUUGCCUUCGGGUGAUAGUGGCGCACGGGUGCGUAACGCGUGGGAAUCUGCCCUUAGGUUCGGAAUAACAGCUGGAAACGGCUGCUAAUACCGGAUGAUAUCGCGAGAUCAAAGAUUUAUCGCCUGAGGAUGAGCCCGCGUUGGAUUAGGUAGUUGGUGGGGUAAAGGCCUACCAAGCCGACGAUCCAUAGCUGGUCUGAGAGGAUGAUCAGCCACACUGGGACUGAGACACGGCCCAGACUCCUACGGGAGGGAGCAGUGGGGAAUAUUGGACAAUGGGCGCAAGCCUGAUCCAGCAAUGCCGCGUGAGUGAUGAAGGCCCUAGGGUUGUAAAGCUCUUUUACCCGGGAAGAUAAUGACUGUACCGGGAGAAUAAGCCCCGGCUAACUCCGUG